rnacentral:rRNA from 1 species
CCCUUAGAUGUUCUGGGCCGCACGCGCGCUACACUGAUGCAUUCAACAAGCCUAGCCUUGACCGAGAGGUCCGGGUAAUCUUUGAAACUGCAUCGUGAUGGGGCUAGAUUAUUGCAAUUAUUAAUCUUCAACGAGGAAUGCCUAGUAAGCGUGAUUCAUCAAAUCGCGUUGAUUACGUCCCUGCCCUUUGUACACACCGCCCGUCGCUACUACCGAUUGAAUGGUUUAGUGAGAUCUCUGGAUUGACGCUGGCUAGGGGGCGACCCUUGGCCAGACUGUUGAGAAACUGCUCAAACUUGAUCAUUUAGAGGAAGUAAAAGUCGUAACA